GUUUCAACUUCAUCUAGUCUGAUUCCUUUUAUUCCUUACAAUUCUGAUUUGUUUAUUUGACUUCUUAGUGACUAAUUUAGUUACACCUAUUGCUUUAUAGGACACCAUGCCACCAAGGAGACCUGCAUCUUCCCAAAACAGUCAGGCUAAUGAUGAUGUACCUCCAGUUGAGGGUUUGCCUCCCGUGAGUGCAGAAGAGAUCUAUAGGUAUCUUGGGACACUAGCUGGUUUAGUUGAACGCCAAGCUCGAGCUAUUGGGACUAAUGUUCAGGGACAGUCUUCAUCUUCUAGGGGUAGCUCUUUUGAUGACUUCAAGAAAUUGGGUCCUCAUUACUUUUCUGGUGCUACAGAUCCCACAGAGGCAGAGGCUUGGAUCCUUAAGAUGGAGAAAUUCUUUAGUGUCAUAGAUUGCUCUGAGGAGCAAAAAGCCUCUUAUGCAGCUUUUAUGUUAGAUAAAGAGGCAGAUCAUUGGUGGCGUAUGACUAGGAGACUUUUGGAGGAUCAGGGACCCAUAACAUGGAGGCAAUUUAGGGAGGCUUUCUACAAGAAGUAUUUCCCUGACAGUGUUAGGCGGCAGAAGGUGGGAGAGUUUAUUCGUUUGGAACAGGGGGAUAUGACUGUGGCUUAGUAUGAGGCCAAAUUUACAGAGUUAUCACGUUUUUCCCCACAGUUGAUUGCUACAGAGGAGGAAAAGACAUUAAAGUUUCAGGAUGGAUUGAAGCCUUAUUUGAAGAACAAGAUAUCUAUUUUGAAGCUUGGUGUCUAUUCAGAGGUUGUUGAUAGAGCCCUUAUAGCAGAGAAAGAUAAUGAAGAGCUUCAUCAGUAUAGAGAACAGCAAAGGAAGCGAAAUAGGAGUGAUGGUGCUCAGGGUAAUCAAGCACAGCGAAGGUCUACAUCAGGAAGAAAUCAGAAUAAAGGGAAGACAACGCAGAAUUUAGAUGGGGCUUGUCCUACUUGUGGUAAGAAGCAUGAGGGUAGGCCAUGCUAUAGAGAGACUGGAGCUUGCUUUGGUUGUGGGAAGCAAGGACAUUUGAUCAGAGAUUGUUCAGAGAAUAGGAAGUUCAUCACUGGGAAGCCUAAAGAGGAAAAUAAGGAGGAUAAACAGAAACCCAAAGCCCAAGGACGGGUGUUUGCUAUGACUCAUCGAGAUGCUCAGGCCACUUCUGAUGUGGUGACAGAAUUCCAGAGAACGUAAGGUUGGAGUCAGAUUUCAGGGUUGAAGAACAGAUCUCUAUAGGUGAAGAGUAGAUUAUAUUUUUUUUCAGAAUUAUUCUUCUCCCAAGCUUUCAAGGACUUCUUUUGAGGUAAGGGAAGUUAAUGUAAUAUUUAUAAAAUUAAAUUAUUUUGUACGUUAUUUUGAAUUGUGGAAAAGAAAAUGAUAUUUUGUUACCAUGCAUGGAUCAAAUUGUUUUGCACUAAAUGUUAUGUUGGAAUAUUUUGUUUUAUUUAUGACACAAAAUAUGGAGAUAUUAUGUUGUGUAAAUUUGAAUACUUGAACAAAAACAUCACUCUGGUUUAUUUGGCCCUUGUCAACGGGAUAUAAUAGUUGACUAUUCGGCCCUGUCAACGGGAUAUAAUAGUUGACUUUUACAUUUCAUGGUGGGAAUGUAAUUGAUUUGGACCCCAGCCUCUAGGGGUUUGGUUAGAGGUUACUAGUACUAGUAGUGUUUGGUUCCGUCCACCAGGAACAAUCUGAGGCUAGCCACCCAUUUGAAAAGUCCCACCUAACUGGGCAUUUGAUAUUUGAUAACCAGAGUAAUGAAAAAAUUGAAUGGAUUUGAUUGAGUCUAAUGUGAAAGUGUUUGAAUUUGA